AGCCUCCCUGGGCACCGGCGCGCCUUCGCGCCCCACACAGCUCGCCGGCCGGCGCUCCUCGACUCGGCAGACGAGGCGGCGCCUUUGUGUGUGUGCCGCCUUUGCGCUUCCAAACUUGCCCCACUGCCGGAGGCUCUCACUUAAGGGAACAAAAACUGGAGAGAACUGAACGUCGCACAACAGCCAGGCGACCCUUGCCCGCCCAAGACGCUCCUCGGGCUGGCGCGGGCAGGGAACACCCCUUUACUAGUGUCUGCAUACCCGCAGCUUUAGCUCUUGGCCACCAAAGUGAAGACAGGAAGAGGGACCAAGGACACCCCCCCCCCCAAAUGAGGGGGGAAUUGAGGAAACAGGGGUUAAGGAGUUGCCGAGCCAGCACUUCGGCGGCCGCGUAGAGUCCCAGUGCGCAACUCACGCCCGAGACCCAGAGAAGAGCCAUGGGCAGCCCACGAGUGCACGGGCAGCUCCAGAGGGCGGAUGUCGGCUUUCACUCCACGCAAGCCUGCACCCUUGAAUUUUUCUCCAGCAUGAUUUUAACUGAACUCUGCAUUCAAGACCGGCGCCUGGGACCCCUGCUCGAGGGGCUGGAGGCUGUCCCUGCCCCCGCACGCGCAGAGCCCCAAGCCUGACUGAGCGCCCGCCCCGCGGUCAGCUCCCCGCACAACUGCGCGCCUGCGCACCGGGACCCGGCGCGCGAGCGUUCCUUCCCGGCUCCGUGUUCCUCCCUCCCCCGUGCGCCUGCGCGCCGGCUGGGAGGAACUCGGCGCCUUGGCCUCGACGGGCGGGCGGAUGGGCGCG